AGAGUUUGAUCCUGGCUCAGGACGAACGCUGGCGGCGUGCUUAACACAUGCAAGUCGAACGGAAAGGUCUCUUCGGAGAUACUCGAGUGGCGAACGGGUGAGUAACACGUGGGCAAUCUGCCCUGCACUUCGGGAUAAGCCUGGGAAACUGGGUCUAAUACCGAAUAGGACCAAGAGGCGCAUGCCUUGUGGUGGAAAGCUUUUGCGGUGUGGGAUGGGCCCGCGGCCUAUCAGCUUGUUGGUGGGGUGACGGCCUACCAAGGCGACGACGGGUAGCCGGCCUGAGAGGGUGUCCGGCCACACUGGGACUGAGAUACGGCCCAGACUCCUACGGGAGGCAGCAGUGGGGAAUAUUGCACAAUGGGCGCAAGCCUGAUGCAGCGACGCCGCGUGGGGGAUGACGGCCUUCGGGUUGUAAACCUCUUUCACCAUCGACGAAGGUCCGGGUUUCUCGGAUUGACGGUAGGUGGAGAAGAAGCACCGGCCAACUACGUGCCAGCAGCCGCGGUAAUACGUAGGGUGCGAGCGUUGUCCGGAAUUACUGGGCGUAAAGAGCUCGUAGGUGGUUUGUCGCGUUGUUCGUGAAAUCUCACGGCUUAACUGUGAGCGUGCGGGCGAUACGGGCAGACUGGAGUACUGCAGGGGAGACUGGAAUUCCUGGUGUAGCGGUGGAAUGCGCAGAUAUCAGGAGGAACACCGGUGGCGAAGGCGGGUCUCUGGGCAGUAACUGACGCUGAGGAGCGAAAGCGUGGGGAGCGAACAGGAUUAGAUACCCUAGUAGUCC
rnacentral:rRNA from 1 species